rnacentral:rRNA from 1 species
UACGGGGGGGGCAAGCGUUGUCCGGAUUUAUUGGGCGUAAAGAGCUCGUAGGCGGUUCGGUAAGUCGGGUGUGAAACCUCCAGGCUCAACCUGGAGACGCCACCCGAUACUGCUGUGACUAGAGUCCGGUAGGGGAGCGUGGAAUUCCUGGUGUAGCGGUGAAAUGCGUAGAUAUCUGGAGGAACACCGGUGGCGAAGGCGGCAUCCUGGACCGGCAUUGACGCUGAGGCGCGAAAGCCAGGGGAGCAAACGGG